UUCUGCGUUAAGAGCCUCAGCCUCAGGGUCAGGGCUGACGGCCAGUCUCUGUGUUGGUUCACUGGAGGAGGGGCGGGGCCCAGAACUUUUACACAACACCGUCCCAGGCACGCAGGCAGUGCCGGGAUCGGGUGGAGCUGGGGCGGGCCGUCCAGCAGGACAGCUGCCCGUGGCUGGAGUCACAGCCAGCCUGAGUGUGCCCACAGCAGAACCCAGCUCUGCUUGCUGAGGCUGAAGACACUGUGCUUCUCAGGCGGCCUGGCUGGGAGGUGAGGAGGGGGCGGGCAGCCAGGGACGGGGGAGUGCAGAGAGGGUCCUGGAGCCACGCCCCACCACCUUUUAAGCUCUGACCCACCUCUGAGUGGUCUCAGGGGCCACGUGCUUGGUUCUGACCCACAGCAUGGUGGUCUUAGGGGCCACGUCCACCGGACUCUGACCCACCUCUGGGUGGUCUCGGGGGCCACGUCCUCAGCUCUGACCCACCUCUGAGUGGUCUCAGGGGCCACGUGCUUGGUUCUGACCCACAGCAUGGUGGUCUUAGGGGCCAUGUCCACCGGACUCUGACCCACCUCUGGGUGGUCUCGGGGGGCCACAUCGUCAGCUCUGACCCACCUCUGAGUGGUCUCGGGGGCCGCGUCCACUGGGCUCUGACCCACCUCUGAGUGGUCUCGGGGGCCGCGUCCACUGGGCUCUGACCCACCUCUGAGUGGUCUCAGGGGCCACGUCCUCGGCACUGACCCACAGCAUGGUGGUCUCGGAGGCCACGUCCUUGGCUCUGACCCACCUCUGAGUGGUCUCGGGGGGCCAUGUCCUCAGCUCUGACCCACUGCUGGGUGGUCUCCGGGUUCUCAGGCCAGUCUGGGCCUCAGCUUCCCUGCUGUGAACUGUGGGUUGUGCACUGGCUGGUUUCUCAGGGUUUCCCCACUCCUGACAUCCUGAGUCCUGGAAGCCUUCAGGGAGGAGAGAUCUCCAGGAUUCAUCGUUUUUGGUCUUUGUUCUUCCCUGGUGGGGAGGCCAGAGGUGAUUCCAGGGGCUGACAGGACGGGGCUGAGAGAAGACUGCCCUCACCCGAGAGGGGAACCCAGGAGCAAGCAAGUCCGGAGUAAUGAAAGAAGGGAGCGGCAGGCACCUCAGCAUCUGACUAACCAGAGAAAGGGACCGGAACCACCACUAUCUGACCAGAGGAGGGGACUGGGAACCAUCACAGCAUCUGACCAAAGCAAAUGAGACGCAUUCUGAGGAAGCGAAGGCGCUGCUGGUCAGAGCCCUGCCUGCAGCCAGCACACCAGGGGAGAUGUGAGACCCCAGAUGGGCUGGGAAGGAGGGCCAGCUCCUGCAAGUAGGAAAUUGCUUAGCUCACCCCAAAGGGAAGGAGGAGAAGAGGGAGGCAGAGGACAAGAUGGUCGGAUGGCAUCACUGACUCAAUGGACAUGAGUUUGAGCAAGCUCCGGGAGUUGGUGAUGGACAGGAUGGCCUGGUGUGCUGCAGUCCAUGGGGUCGCAGAGAGUGGAACGCGACUGACUGAAGAACACCCCAAAGGGCAGAAAUUGAAAGUUGGUAUGGUUUAUAUCUAAAUGUUCUUAAAUGUUUAUGUUCUUUUAAAUAAUUCUUUAAAUUAUAAAUCUGGCAUUAAUGUGGAUUUCUGGUAACUGUAUUUAGUUAAGUGCCUGGAUUCAGUUUUGGAGUAAAUAACAUAAAUCCAAAAAAGAUCCUCAAACAUUUUGCUUACUAAAAUGUUUUUAUAAGGUGAGUGUGUCCUCUUGAAGAGCUUGCUAGGGCCCUGGUCAUCGCGGCUGGUGGGGCCCGGUGCUCAGUUGUGGCACUUGCAUUCAGACAUGUACAUUAUUUCUUGAGCCAACAGUCUUAUGCUGCUGCUGCUGCUGCUAAGUCGCUUCAGUCGUGUCCGACUCUGUGCAACCCCAGAGACGGCAGCCCACCAGGCUCCCCUGUCCCUGGGAUUCUCCAGGCAAGAACACUGGAGUGGGUUGCCAUUUCCUUCUCCAAUGCAUGAAAGUGAAAAGUGAAAGGGAAGUCGCU
ensembl:lncRNA